GAUGAACGCUGGCGGCGUGCUUAACACAUGCAAGUCGAGCGGUAAGGCCCUUUCGGGGGUACACGAGCGGCGAACGGGUGAGUAACACGUGGGUGACCUGCCCUUAGCUCUGGGAUAAGCCUGGGAAACUGGGUCUAAUACCGGAUAUGACUCCAUGACGCAUGUUGUGGGGUGGAAAGCCUUGUGCGGCUAGGGAUGGGCCCGCGGCCUAUCAGCUUGUUGGUGGGGUGAUGGCCUACCAAGGCGACGACGGGUAGCCGGCCUGAGAGGGCGACCGGCCACACUGGGACUGAGACACGGCCCAGACUCCUACGGGAGGCAGCAGUGGGGAAUCUUGCGCAAUGGGCGAAAGCCUGACGCAGCGACGCCGCGUGGGGA
rnacentral:rRNA from 1 species